rnacentral:rRNA from 1 species
AUUGAACGCUAGCGGGAUGCCUUACACAUGCAAGUCGAACGGAGUGGCGAACGGGUGAGUAAUGUAUCGGAACGUGCCUAGUAGCGGGGGAUAACUACGCGAAAGCGUAGCUAAUACCGCAUACUAUUAGAGCGGCCGAUAUCGGAUUAGCUAGUUGGUGGGGUAAAGGCUCACCAAGGCGACGAUCGGUAGCUGGUCUGAGAGGACGACCAGCCACACUGGGACUGAGACACGGCCCAGACUCCUACGGGAGGCAGCAGUGGGGAAUUUUGGACAAUGGGGGCAACCCUGAUCCAGCCAUGCCGCGUGCAGGAUGAAGGUCUUCGGAUUGUAAACUGCUUUUGUCAGGGAAGCGGUACCUGAAGAAGAAGCACCGGCUAACUACGUGCCAGCAGCCGCGGUAAUUC